AUUGCUAAGCAUUAUAAUUAUUUCUUUAACCAUUAUACAUAUUUAACUGACUAUUUGUGUUUUAGAUGGCAGUACUGCAGAUCACUGGAGGCAUGCUGAGACAUGAAUUAGCAUUUCUAUCACUAGGGAAAGUUACAACAUUUUCCGUUGAAAAUGGAAUAGAAGAUGGCAGUAUAUCAGAUCAAUCAAGGCACGCUGAGACACGAAUUCACAUUUCUACCACCAAGGAAAGAAUCAACAUCCUAUGUUGAAAAUGGACUAGAAGAUACUGAUAAUAAUAUUGGAUUUAUGCAAUGUGCGUGCAAUGGUUAUUGAAUAUAAUUGAUUCUAAAUUAAUAGCUGUGAAACAAUUGAGAUUUGUUAAAUAUCUGAAUAAAAUAAUAGUAAACACCUUUA